rnacentral:rRNA from 1 species
UCGGGUUGUAAAGCACUUUUGUCCGGAAAGAAAACUUCUGCCCUAAUACGGCGGGAGGAUGACGGUACCGGAAGAAUAAGCACCGGCUAACUACGUGCCAGCAGCGCGGUAAUCGUAGGGUGCGAGCGUUAAUCGGAAUUACUGGGCGUAAAGCGUGCGCAGGCGGCUCGUUAAGACAGAUGUGAAAUCCCCGGGCUUAACCUGGGAACUGCAUUUGUGACUGGCGAGCUAGAGUAUGGCAGAGGGGGGUAGAAUUCCACGUGUAGCAGUGAAAUGCGUAGAGAUGUGGAGGAAUACCGAUGGCGAAGGCAGCCCCCUGGGCCAAUACUGACGCUCAUGCACGAAAGCGUGGGGAGCAAACAGGAUUAGAUACCCUGGUAGUCCACGCCCUAAACGAUGUCAACUAGUUGUUGGGGAUUCAUUUCCCUAGUAACGUAGCUAACGCGUGAAGUUGACCGCCUGGGGAGUACGGUCGCAAGAUUAAAACUCAAAGGAAUUGACGGGGACCCGCACAAGCGGUGGAUGAAGGUGGAUUAAUUCGAUGCAACGCGAAAAACCUUACCUACCCUUGACAUGGUCGGAACCCUGCUG